CUCAGGACGAACGCUGGCGGCGUGCUUAACACAUGCAAGUCGAACGGACCUUAUUUGGAGGAAGCUUUCGGGUAGACACUGAAUAAGGUUAGUGGCGGACGGGUGAGUAACGCGUAGAUAAUCUACCUUAAAGACUGGGACAACAGUUGGAAACGACUGCUAAUACCGGAUAAGCUAAACGGAAGGCAUCUUCUGUUUAGGAAAGGAGGCCUCUUAACAAUGCUCCCGCUUUUAGAUGAGUCUGCGUCUGAUUAGCUAGUUGGUGGGGUAACGGCUUACCAAGGCGACGAUCAGUAGUCGGCCUGAGAGGGUGACCGGCCACAUUGGGACUGAGACACGGCCCAAACUCCUACGGGAGGCAGCAGUGGGGAAUCUUCCGCAAUGGGCGAAAGCCUGACGGAGCAACGCCGCGUGAUCGAAUGAAGGCCUUCGGGUUGUAAAGAUCUGUUGACAGGGACGAAUAAGCCAUGCGAAUAGUUUGGUGUAUGACGGUACCUGUUUAGAAAGCUCCGGCUAACUACGUGCCAGCAGCCGCGGUAAUACGUAGGGAGCAAGCGUUGUCCGGAAUUACUGGGCGUAAAGGGCGCGUAGGUGGGUGCUUAAGUCAGGUGUGAAAACUCUGGGCUCAACCUGGAGACUGCACUUGAAACUGGGUAUCUUGAGGGCAGGAGAGGAAAGUGGAAUUCCUAGUGUAGCGGUGAAAUGCGUAGAUAUUAGGAGGAACACCAGUGGCGAAGGCGACUUUCUGGACUGUACCUGACGCUGAGGCGCGAAAGCGUGGGUAGCGAACGGGAUUAGAUACCCCGGUAGUCCACGCCGUAAACGAUGAAUACUAGGUGUAGGAGGUAUCGACUCCUUCUGUGCCGCAGCAAACGCAAUAAGUAUUCCGCCUGGGGACUACGGUCGCAAGACUAAAACUCAAAGGAAUUGACGGGGACCCGCACAAGCGGUGGAGCAUGUGGUUUAAUUCGACGCAACGCGAAGAACCUUACCAGGGCUUGACAUCCCUCGCUAUCUGUGGAAACACGGAGUUCCGUAGCUUGCUACGGACGAGGAGACAGGUGGUGCAUGGUUGUCGUCAGCUCGUGUCGUGAGAUGUUGGGUUAAGUCCCGCAACGAGCGCAACCCCUACGUCCAGUUGCCAGCACGUUAAGGUGGGAACUCUGGAGGAACUGCCGGUGACAAACCGGAGGAAGGUGGGGAUGACGUCAAAUCAUCAUGCCCUUUAUGUUCUGGGCUACACACGUGCUACAAUGGCCGGUACAGAGGGCGGCGAAGCCGCGAGGUGGAGCGAAUCCCAAAAAGCCGGUCUAAGUUCGGAUUGCAGGCUGCAACCCGCCUGCAUGAAGUCGGAAUCGCUAGUAAUCGCGAGUCAGCAUAUCGCGGUGAAUACGUUCCCGGGUCUUGUACACACCGCCCGUC
rnacentral:rRNA from 1 species